AUUAGCACAUUGCCCACUGUCCAAUCAGGGGGCAAAAGGUUCUGGCGCGUUCUGGUUACUUCGUCCAUCUGAAGCAUGGAGUCAACACAGAGGAGUCCGAGGCAAACUCUUCUGGGACACAGUCUUCAGAAUAUCAGAUGAUGAAAACCUGAUCAUGGAUGACCUUGAGUUCAAUGACCUUAGGAACAGUGUGUCUCUCAUCCUCUCCCCUGCUCUGCAGUCAUCUCUUCUCCUGUCCUCGUAUCUCCUCUCCUCUUCAGGUUCAGGAGACUGUACAAGAAGAGAUACAGUCUCUACACUCUCAAGACAGAGAAGACGUAAAAUGAAUCCCAAAAUGAAAAAAUCUCAACCUUUUCGAAUGCAGCUAGCGCACUGCAGGUCAUGUGACAAGAAUUAACCAAUUAGCUUCACAGGACUUGCUUCAUCCUCCAUCCAAGGACGUCACAACAUGCGGUUGAAAGGUCAGCCAAAGUGAAAUAACUGCAGAAUGAAGAGCAACUGAUAAUACUCAUUCAGACCACUGCAGACCGCUUGUGAUUUGGACCGGUUGCUUAGUAACGGCAGGCGUGACCAUAGCAUUGAGUCCUGUGUGUCCUAGUCUUAGCCUAGAAAAGAUAACAUCUUCUUUCCUACAUUUACCUUGAUUACUUCUGACUCUUUGGAUUUUAUAGUAUUCUCUACCCUUGCUGUCAUUAUUCUAGAUUUCCUGCCAUGAUGUCAUUAUUCCCUAAUGAGUUAAUGAUUUUGCUUCUGAUCUCCCAAAACAAAUUUCUAAAAAUUCAUUAUCAUUUUUGUUUAGUGCAUUUUUAGCAAGUUUAUCUGCAAUCUCAUUUCCCGUAUGUUAGUGAUAACUUAGUUCUCCUCAGAGGCAGUUCACUGGAUUCAACGAGCAAUGCAUUAAUAGGCGUGGUUUUGACUGCUCCUAUACUAAGUCUUAGUGCUCUGUAUUGUAUCCUGUAAAGUUUUUCGAGGUGAGUUUUUGCUGCUGCUUCAUAUACCAUACAGCCAUAGUCUAAAGUAGCUCUCAUCAAAGCCCUGUAUAUGUGUAAUAAUGCUUCUUUGUCAGCUCCCCAUUCAGUUCCGACCACACACCUCAUUAAUUUUAACACCUUUUUACAUUUGGUCUCAAUAUUUUCAAUAAGAUUCUUCCAUGUGUAUUUUUCAUCAGUCCAUAGACCAAGAUAUUUAAACACUGACUCUUUUUUGGGCUUGCUAUAUAGUGUUAACCCCUGCUCGUUACCUAUUUUCUUUUUUGACCAGCAUAUAGCAUGAGUUUGCUACUGAAAUUUUGAAUCCCCAAUCAUAAGACCAUCUCUCUACACUGACUUUUGCUUUCUGUAUACUUUUCAACACAUGUGAGCAAUUUUUUCCCCUUUUCCAGAUUGCUCCAUCGCCUGCGUACAAUGCUGACUGUAUACCUGACCCUGUAUUUUCAAAGAUAUCAUUAUUCAUGAUAUUAAAUAGAAUUGGGCUGA